rnacentral:rRNA from 1 species
GAUUCUGGCUCAGGAUGAACGCUAGCUACAGGCUUAACACAUGCAAGUCGAGGGGCAGCAUUGGGAUAGCUUGCUAUUCAGAUGGCGACCGGCGCACGGGUGAGUAACGCGUAUCCAACCUUCCUGCCAGUAGGGAACAGCCCGGCGAAAGUCGGAUUAAUGCCCUAUGUUCUUCAAUGCGGACAUCUAAGUUGAAGGAAAGAUUCAUCGCUGGCAGAUGGGGAUGCGUCCGAUUAGCUUGCCGGCGGGGUAACGGCCCACCGGGGCGACGAUCGGUAGGGGUUCUGAGAGGAAGGUCCCCCACACUGGUACUGAGACACGGACCAGACUCCUACGGGAGGCAGCAGUGAGGAAUAUUGGUCAAUGGGCGUAAGCCUGAACCAGCCAAGUAGCGUGCAAGGACGACGGCCCUACGGGUUGUAAACUGCUUUUAUGCGGGGAUAAAGUGCGGCACGUGUGCCGCUUUGCAGGUACCGCAUGAAUAAGGACCGGCUAAUUCCGUGCCAGCCGCUGC